AUGAACGCUGGCGGCGUGCCUAAUACAUGCAAGUCGAGCGAACAGACGAGGAGCUUGCUCCUCUGACGUUAGCGGCGGACGGGUGAGUAACACGUGGAUAACCUACCUAUAAGACUGGGACAACUUCGGGAAACCGGAGCUAAUACCGGAUAAUAUAUUGAACCGCAUGGUUCAAUAGUGAAAGACGGUUUUGCUGUCACUUAUAGAUGGAUCCGCGCCGCAUUAGCUAGUUGGUAAGGUAACGGCUUACCAAGGCGACGAUGCGUAGCCGACCUGAGAGGGUGGUCGCCCGCACUGGAACUGGAACAGGGUCCAGAGGCCUACGGGAGGCAGCAGAAGGGAAUCUUCCGCAAUAGUCGGAAACCUGGCGGAACGACGCGGAGUGUGUGGUAGAGGUGUUCGGAGCGUAAAGCUCUGUUAUUGGGUGAAAACAAAUGUGUAAGUAACUGAGGAGGUCGUGACGGUACCGGGUCAGAAAGCCACGGCUAACUACGUG
rnacentral:rRNA from 1 species